rnacentral:pre_miRNA from 1 species
AAACAGUCAUCUAUGUUUUGAUUCUUUAGCAGUUUUGGACCCCCAAGGCAAAAAAAAAAAAAAAAAUUGACAAGUGCCACCUCCCUUAGGGUGCCACGUCAGCGUUGACCGAGUCAACAAUGGAUUGGGGGUCCAAAACGGCCAAAAAAUUAAAACAUAGGGGGCUGUUU